rnacentral:lncRNA from 12 species
UAACUCCCAUUUGUAGGCCUCGCCUCGAUGUAACAUGGAGCUCACUGCCUUAUUGACGCUACCACAGAAGGGGAACCAGACAACCAUGGGGACACUGCUGCCUGUGUGCAUAUACAGAUGUGGCCACUUGAAAAAACCUGAGAAGCAAGCUAGGCAGCAAAAUUUGAGUGAAAGACCAGCUUUUCAAGGACUCUGCGAUGAAGAUGAAUCACAGAAUUACGGAGUGUUUCCAUUGUGCUCCAUUUGUCCCACCCAUGGAAGUAGCAACUCACUGAUCUGUUUGGAAAAAGGAACUGGGCAUUCCUAAGAUGGCUUGUCUCCAGGAAGCCUGCGAUCCCUACAUUAUGCCAAGGACUGCUGUGGUUGUCUCCUUCCCUGGUUCUGACACAAGAGCUGAGAAAAAAGGGGUGUGUACAUGCGAUUGCCAUCUUCUCCAGGCAUCCUGUUCCAAUGGAUACAAGACUCAGGAUGCAGGGAUAAAAAUCAGGCGACUGCUUCCAAUCCCACAACAAAUGUCACCCAUCUCUUCCAACAAAAAACUUAACUCAAAAUGACACUUGCUUGUCAAAUCUGAAUUAGGCAUUUUCACUCUAACUGGAGUGAGUAUAUCAAUCCCCUGGGGGAAAACUGGAGCUCUGGAGAGGAUUCAGAUUCAGCAAACAGUUUUUGCUUGUCUGCUGUGUCUCAGGUAGGCACUGUAUUGUGUGUGUGUGUGUGUGUGUGUGUGUGUGUUUAAUUUCUAUUCCCACUUGCAUAGUACAGAUGAGGAAAGCAGGGACUUGCCCCCUCAACAGCCAGCUAGUGGAAAGGUCAGGUUUCUAACCUAGGUUUUACAGCCCCAGGUCCAGGUCCACUGUUCCUUGCAUUUAGACUAUAGAUGCCACUCCAGGCGCAAGCCCAGGCCACCUCUUCCCAGGAUAUUACAGACCACAUCGGGUUUUCUCCUCUCUGAACACCAGCAGUGUGGCCACAUGUUCACUUCACCUGCAGAAGCUGCCAGGCUCGAGAGUUGUGUCUUGUUCUUUCCACCCACUGAUAGGAUGCUGGGCGUGUAGGAAAGCAACCGUUUACUGGGAGCACUGAACAGUCUCAAAGCCUUCUCAUACAUACUGUCCCCAUAGCUCUGUAACACGAGAUAGAUGAGCUUUUUUUGCCCUGGUGGGGGAGAGGAGAGUAGUGGGAGGGAGGGAGGAAGCCGAAGGAAAUUAAUGAGUGACUUAGGAUUCAUCCCUAAAGGACCAAAGCAUGGAGGAGCCUGAUUUAUGAGAGUUAGACAAGGUUGAUGGUUGGCUGGGAAAAUUGAGAGAUUAACUUUAUGUCUUGAGUACCUACUGGAUGCCAGACAGUCCAUUAGUAGGUUGUUAUGAACAUUAUCUCACUUAAUGCAAUCCUGUAAUCUCUGCAAUUAUAUUUUUAAUGGACUUCAGUGCACAAAACUGAACUAAUCUUUUUAAUACUUUAUUCAUACUAUUCUAUUGGUCCAUGCUUGGGUCUUAAUUAUUUUUCUCAGUCAUUUAUUUUAGUGAUGCGAUGAGUACCUUGGAACCUACAUCUAACCCAAGAACUAGAACACUAAUGGUAAUUCACCUCUAUUCAGGUGCUCCUUCCCUACGCUGUUGCAAAUGAAAAUAAUGUACCAGCCCUCUCCUGUAGUUAAUUUUCAUAAGAGGAUAUUAAGAAUUCCUGGCUUAGACUGUCCUGUCCAUAAACCCUCAGCAAAAUAAAUAAGUUUAUCUGCUUGAUUAAGAAAACUCC